rnacentral:rRNA from 1 species
CAUUCACGGAGAGUUUGAUCCUGGCUCAGGACGAACGCUGGCGGCGUGCUUAACACAUGCAAGUCGAACGAUGAAGCCUUUCGGGGUGGAUUAGUGGCGAACGGGUGAGUAACACGUGGGCAAUCUGCCCUUCACUCUGGGACAAGCCCUGGAAACGGGGUCUA